rnacentral:miRNA from 1 species
AUCCUCAUUGGCCAGAAGGGAUUCCUUCCGGUCAAUGAGGUAUAACAACCUGAUUGAUCAGAAGGAAUUCCUUCCUAUCAAUGAGGUU